GCCCGGGUGGCUCAGUAGGUUAAGCGUCUGACUUCAGCUCAGGUCAUGAUCUCACAGUCCGUGAGUUCGAGCCCCACGUCGGGCU
rnacentral:tRNA from 1 species